rnacentral:rRNA from 1 species
GGGGGAUAGCUCGGGGAAACUCGAAUUAAUACCGCAUACGACCUACGGGUGAAAGGGGGCGCAAGCUCUUGCUAUUAGAUGAGCCUAAAUCAGAUUAGCUAGUUGGUGGGGUAAAGGCCCACCAAGGCGACGAUCUGUAACUGGUCUGAGAGGAUGAUCAGUCACACCGGAACUGAGACACGGUCCGGACUCCUACGGGAGGCAGCAGUGGGGAAUAUUGGACAAUGGGGGCAACCCUGAUCCAGCCAUGCCGCGUGUGUGAAGAAGGCCUUUUGGUUGUAAAGCACUUUAAGCAGGGAGGAGAGGCUAAUGGUUAAUACCCAUUAGAUUAGACGUUACCUGCAGAAUAAGCACCGGCUAACUCUGUGCCAGCAGCCGCGGUAAUACAGAGGGUGCGAGCGUUAAUCGGAAUUACUGGGCGUAAAGCGAGUGUAGGUGGCUCAUUAAGUCACAUGUGAAAUCCCCGGGCUUAACCUGGGAACUGCAUGUGAUACUGGUGGUGCUAGAAUAUGUGAGAGGGAAGUAGAAUUCCAGGUGUAGCGGUGAAAUGCGUAGAGAUCUGGAGGAAUACCGAUGGCGAAGGCAGCUUCUGGCAUAAUAUUGACACUGAGAUUCGAAAGCGUGGGUAGCAAACAGGAUUAGAUACCCUGGUAGUCCACGCCGUAAACGAUGUCUACUAGCCGUUGGGGUCCUUGAGACUUUAGUGGCGCAGUUAACGCGAUAAGUAGACCGCCUGGGGAGUACGGCCGCAAGGUUAAAACUCAAAUGAAUUGACGGGGGCCCGCACAAGCGGUGGAGCAUGUGGUUUAAUUCGAUGCAACGCGAAGAACCUUACCUGGUCUUGACAUCCU